rfam:Planococcus sp. PAMC 21323, complete genome.
AUGAUUGUACGAGGAGAGAAUGCGAAAGCGUCGCCGAAGGAGCAAAUAACAAAAGUUAUGAAUCUCUCAGGCAAAAAGACUCGUACAGGACG